CGCGUAGGCGGUUCUCCAAGUCAGGGGUGAAAUCCUGCGGCUUAACCGUAGAAGUGCCUUUGAUACUGGAGAUCUUGAGGGAGGUAGGGUCCGCGGAACUUCUGGUGGAGCGGUGAAAUGCGUUGAUAUCAGAAGGAACGCCGGUGGCGAAAGCGACGGACUGGAUCUCUUCUGACGCUGAGGCGCGAAAGCUAGGGGAGCAAAACG
rnacentral:rRNA from 1 species